CCUAGACUCCGGGGGAAGUGUCUGGAGCCGCCUCUCAGCCUAAGGGAGUCUGAUUGGAGUGAGGGUCUCAUUUUGAUGGAAGUCCUGGAUGCCUUUCUGGUACAGGGAUGGGAAAAAUGAAACAGGACCAACAGCCAGAAGGAGCAAGGACGGUGGACCCCCAGGGAGAGGCUGGAACAAGCUCUUCACUGCAGUCUCAUUUCACUCUCCCAAAAGCCCCCAGGGCAGGCCUUACUCCCUGUGUUUCUAAGGAGAGACUGAGAUGCUGAGAGCCAGAUGCCUGGCAAAACAGGACUCGAGUCUCGUCUUGGACUUCAGGUCCAGGGCUCUUUCUACCCUUUGCGGCCCCCUCUGGAUGGGCUGGGAAGAGCCAGAGAGGCAGGAGCGGAGAAGCGGUAUCCCUUUGUCUCCUUCAGAUGAGGACCACGGAAACACUCACCCUGGGCUUCAGACAGGGAAGCUGAGGCCCAGAGAGGAUGCAGAAAAUACAGACCAUAUCCACCCCCAACACUACCUGCAGAGCCUGGAAGCACAGGGGUCAUUCUCUUGGAGGGUGUGAGAGGGCAACUCCACUCUGGGUAAGAAAAUCAUGACAAGAAGGUGUGUCUGGGUGGAAUUACAGGUGAGUUUGAUUUACAACAUAGGGCUUUUCUGCAUUUCUCAGAUUCUCUUUGAGCCUGAAUUCUGUCUGUAAUCAGAUAUCCCCUAAUAAUACUAAGUGUAUUUUUUUCCCCCCUUUAAACACUAACUGUUACCUGCUCUAAGCAUUAUCUAAAUCAACUCUGACAACCACUCUGGUAGGGAGUUGUUACCAUUGCUAUUCCUGUUUUAAAGAGGAAGAAAGAGAAGUCUAGACAUUUGCCCAAGGUCAUACAGCAAGUGGCACAGCUGUGACUCUAACCACAUUAAAUGCAAUUGAAUCAAUCAAAAGUUAAUAUCAGGGAUGGUCCAGGUCUAUGGGAGAAUGCUGAUUUGCUCGCUCCUUGGUGACUUACCAAUGGCACUCUGGAUGUUAUGUGGACAAACAGCCUGGGCCCCAGAGAAAGCUGCUGAGCAGCCCGUGGAGACAGGAGAGGCCUGGCAUGAUCCCCCACCCCUUGCCAGGACCUGGACACCUCUCGCUGCUCAAGACAAUGGGAACACUGCGCCCUGGCAGAGUGCAGGGAGGCAGGACAUGGCCUGCCUAGGUCCCUGCUGUUCCUCUCAGCGUGGCAAAGUGCAGAUAGGAUGGGAGAUGCUGAGGAAUGAGGUAGGGGGUGGCUCUGAGCUGAGCCAACAACAGCAAGGGUGGAGCAAGGAGUGGAGCAAGGAGGGUCUGCCCUCCCCUGGGACUGGGGAAGAGGCCAUUUUGGCAGGAGCAUGAGCCCAGUGCCUCCCGCCACCCACCACCCAGCUUCUGCAGGCAUCACCCACUGGCAUGUGUGAGCCCCUAACACCUUGGUCCACUGUCUCCAAACACCACCCAAUUCUGUGUUCCCUGGAAUACUGAAUGAGGACACCAGUGGGCCAGCCUUCCAAUUUGUGUGACCUUGCCCAAGCCCCUGUGUCUCUCUGAAUUUCCUCACUGGUGAAAUGAAGGUGACACACCCUACUUUGCAGGCCAGACUCUACUUUUUCAAGGUGAGCAGAGCAGCAAAGGACCCCAGCUGGAGGGGGUGAAGCAGCCCAGCAAAUGGUGGUUGCCAACGUGACAAGGGGGCUCCUCUCCCAACCUGGCAAAGUGAGGACAGGCCAGGAGAGCUUGUGGGGGGCGGAGCCCUCUUCCUUCCUGCCCCUUUCAUCGGGUAUAUAGAUGAGAUCUGAGACCAGAUGCGUGGCUGAGUGACUCAGCCCUUUCCUGCCUGGACACUCCUCCCCGCCUGCCUCACCAGGCUGGGCCAGGCGGUGAGACAGCAGACUGGACGUGGGGGUGGCUGGUCCUGAACAACCUCAGGGGAGUGGUGGGGGAGGGAGAGGGGAGGAUGAAUGAGGCUAAUGUAGCCUGGCCUGCAAGAUGGGGAUGGCUUGGAGGAGGAGGGGUUGUCAAGGAAGAGAGUGAGGGUGUCCUUGAGUCUAGUCGCUGACGCUGACUCAACCUAAAAUGCUCAAAUGCUCACCCCCUCCUCCUCCCACCAGCCGAGCAUCCCUUCCCCAGUAUUUCUGGGCCAGCCCAAACCUGUUUGCCCCGCCCUCCUAGGCCCACAUACCCACAGGGUGCUCUCUUCCUUCCCUGCUCUCUCCUUCUCUUUCUAGCCAACCGCCUCCACUUUCUCACCUCCCACUCAGCAGGUCCUAUUACGGACUCACUGAAGCAGCACGUGGAAGCAGCUCUCUGGAAGGUUGCCUUAACUUAGUUGCUAAAUCCCUCACCCCACCCUGAUCUCUCAGGGAAGCAUGCAGAACUUCCCCAACCAGGGAUCGAACCUAUGCCCUCUGCAGUGGAAGCAUGGAAUCUUAACCACUGGAUUUCCAGGGAAGUCCUGCAUAACUUAUUUCUGUGCAGACCUCAGAAUAAAGCUUCUACUGACACUUCUACCAAGAUGUUAAAACUCUUAGCAUUUGCCUCUGCAUGUCUAUGAAGUGCAGUAAUUUCUAAUUACUGACUAAAAGAAACUGCCGCAGAAAUAAAUUGAAUGCUGGCUCUCAGUUAAAACCAUAACCAUCACCUGUAAUUCAGGGUUUCAAAUUUUUAGUCCAUCAAAAUGUCGGCAUUGUUCCCGCUGAUUUAUUUUGUG
ensembl:lncRNA